AGCUCCGUAGCUCAAUUGGCAGAGCAACUGACUCUUAAUCAGUGGGUUGAGGGUUCGAGUCCCUCCGGGGCUA
rnacentral:tRNA from 1 species